AACUCAGUGGUAGAGUGCUUGCCUUUCAUGCAUGAGACCCUGAGUUCGAUUCCUCAG
rnacentral:tRNA from 1 species